UACGUAGGGGGCUAGCGUUGUCCGGAAUCAUUGGGCGUAAAGCGCGUGUAGGCGGCCCGGUAAGUCCGCUGUGAAAGUCGGGGGCUCAACCCUCGAAUGCCGGUGGAUACUGUCGGGCUAGAGUACGGAAGAGGCGAGUGGAAUUCCUGGUGUAGCGGUGAAAUGCGCAGAUAUCAGGAGGAACACCCAUUGCGAAGGCAGCGCGCUGGGACGUUACUGACGCUGAGACGCGAAAGCGUGGGGAGCAAACAGG
rnacentral:rRNA from 1 species